CCGAAGGAGUCCCAGAAAGAAAGAGGUGCCUGGCAAGGGAAUUCUAUGUACCCCCUGACUUCCAAAGGGCUGGGACGGGAAGCCAGCUACCAUGUUGUAGGGACAUUCAACCUACGGAAAGGCCCACGUGGAGUGGAACUGAAGCCACCUGUCAACCACCAGCACUGACUCGGCAGCCAUCUGAGUGAGCCACCGUGAAACCACAUCUUCCAGCCCCAGUCAAGGCUUCAGGUCCUGCAGCCCCAACAUCUUGACCUCCUCAAAGACCCCAAGCCAGAGCCCUUGUCUGGUAUUUUCACCGAAAGUUGCCCUACAAUCAAUGAGUUAUCUGGCAAAAAUGCUUGUGGCUUACAGUGAAACCACCUAGAACUGUCGGAACAACCGAGCUAAGCCAUUCCUAGAUUCCUGACCUACAGAAACUGUGAGAGAUAAUAACUGUUUAUUGUUUUCAGGCAUCACAUUUUGGGAUACUUUUUAAACAGCAACAGGUAACUAAUACAGGUGUGCAGACCUCUAACUGGCUCACGUAUCAGGAUUUGGUGAGAUUCUCCUUGACAUUUCUACUCUUGGAAAGUCCUUCAUCUUUUUUUUUUUUUAACGUUUAUUUAUUUUUGAGAGA